rnacentral:rRNA from 1 species
UUAGCUUGGGAAUCUGGCUUAUGGAGGGGGAUAACUACGGGAAACUGUAGCUAAUACCGCGUAGUAUCGAGAGAUGAAAGUGCGGGACCGCAAGGCCGCAUGCCAUGAGAUGAGCCCAAGUGGGAUUAGGUAGUUGGUGGGGUAAAGGCCUACCAAGCCUGCGAUCUCUAGCUGGUCUGAGAGGAUGGCCAGCCACACUGGAACUGAGACACGGUCCAG